GAUGAACGCUGGCGGCGUGCCUAAUACAUGCAAGUCGAGCGAACAGACGAGGAGCUUGCUCCUCUGACGUUAGCGGCGGACGGGUGAGUAACACGUGGAUAACCUACCUAUAAGACUGGGAUAACUUCGGGAAACCGGAGCUAAUACCGGAUAAUAUAUUGAACCGCAUGGUUCAAUAGUGAAAGACGGUUUUGCCGUCACUUAUAGAUGGAUCCGCGCCGCAUUAGCUAGUUGGUAAGGUAACGGCUUACCAAGGCAACGAUGCGUAGCGGACCUGAGAGGGUGAUCGGCCACACUGGAACUGAGACACGGUCCAGACUCCUACGGGAGGCAGCAGUAGGGAAUCUUCCGCAAUGGGCGAAAGCCUGACGGAGCAACGCCGCGUGAGUGAUGAAGGUCUUCGGAUCGUAAAACUCUGUUAUUAGGGAAGAACAAAUGUGUAAGUAACUAUGCACGUCUUGACGGUACCUAAUCAGAAAGCCACGGCUAACUACGUG
rnacentral:rRNA from 1 species